UACAGAGGUCUCGAGCGUUGUUCGGAUUCAUUGGGCGUAAAGGGUGCGUAGGUGGCGCUGUAAGUCGGGUGUGAAAUCCUGAGGCUUAACCUCGGAACUGCAUUCGAUACUGCGGCGCUUGAGGACUGGAGAGGAGACUGGAAUUCAUGGUGUAGCAGUGAAAUGCGUAGAGAUCGGGAGGAACACCAGAGGCGAAAGCGGCGACCUGGACAGGUACUGACACUCAACUACGAAAGCGUGGGGAGCAAACAGG
rnacentral:rRNA from 1 species